UUUGAUAAUUGAUAUGGUUUGGCUGUGUCCCCACCCAAAUCUCAGCUUGAAUUGUAUCUCCCAGAAUUCCCACGUGUUGUGGGAAGUACCCAGCAGAAGGUAAUGGAAUCCUGGGGGCUGGUCUUUCCCGUGCUAUUCUUGUGAUAGUGAAUAAGUCUCACAAGAUCUGAUGGGUUUAUCAGGGUUUUCUGCUUUUGCUUCUUCCUCAUUUUCUCUUGCCGCUGCCAGGUCAGAAGUGCCUUUCACCUCCUGCCAUGAUUCUGAGGCCUCCCCAGCCACGUGGAACUGUAAGUCCAAUUAAACUUCUUUUUCUACCUGGUCUCAGGUAUGUCUUUAUCAGCAGUUUGAAAACAAACUAAUACAAUAAUAGUAAUGAAAUGCCAAAUUUCUCACACAUUAACUUUCUCUAUUUUGAUUUAAUUUUUUAUUUGGUACAUUUACAACUUCUGGAACCAUCUUAUCUUUCAUAAGUAACUACAUCCUAAGCUUUUUACUUGGUAAUGGAAAAAGCAAUUCAUAGACAACUUCAUGCACUAAGUAUUGCAUGUAAAAUGAUAGCAUGGUAUGUAGCACACUGUAAGUACUCUUUAUUAUUAUUAUUACUUUAUAACUAUCAUCUUUUCUUAUCUGAGCACAGAAACGCACUUUCAUAAGUCAUCCUGCAGAAUGUUUCUUGACAAGCAUGUGUUACGUUAACGGGAGAUAAUGGGAUAGGAUUACCAUGAGCUAGCAGCUGGGAAACCUAAAGCCAAGAGGAGUUAGGAGGCUGCCUAAGGAUGGUAGAGGGAAUAUUACAAAUCUUGGCAUUCUGGCUCUAUAGUCUAAUGCUCUUCACCUUUGUUUUCUGUUUCUCACUUUCUGUCUCUUUCUGUUUUCCAGAGUUUCAUCCAUCCUUGGUAUUCUUCACAUCUUAAUCUCUACUUUCUAUGUAAAGGAUAUCAUAUUAUUCCUUGGUCAUGACUACUAAUUAAAGUGCACAAAUUUAAAUUUCUGUAUCAACUUGCUAUUGUAUUUUCAAGCAUCUACCAACAUCACAUGGGUCUCCCAAAACUUCUCAACCCCAGCAAGUCCCAAGCUGAAUUUAUUAUCUUCCCUGCCAAGCUAUAUUCUUCUUUUUUUCAUCAUCCACUAACCUAUCAAAUAUUUAAAAAACUUAUGGUUGUAUGUGGCUCUUAAUUCUCCCUAACAGCCUACAUCUGUUGAAUUGCCAAAUCUAUCCUUUUAAGGUCUUUACACCUGUCUUUUUCCCUCUCCUUCUCUACUGCUAAAAUCAUUAUUCAAACCUUCAUCUUAUAUCACCUCGAUUAUCACAUGACUCUUUUAAUUGCUGUCACUGACACUGUCUUUUCCCACUAAUUCUUUUCCAUAGUCUGUCACCAUUGUUAUCCGAAAAAUUAUUCUCUCAUAACUUUACCUGCUUUAAAACAAGCCAUCAGCAUCAUGCCAUUACCUACAAGAUAAUCUUCCUUUUGUGGCAUCUAAGACCUUCCACAGAAGUGAGGGGUUCCUUUGUCAGCAUCUUCUUCUGCCUCUUCUCCUGCACGUCCUCUCCUCCAGCCCAACACGGUUUCACGCUUCUCUUGGUGUGCUCCUCUUUCACAUCCCUGGACCAUUGUUCACUCUCUUUCUUGCCUUUCCUGCCUUUGGUUUGCUCUUGUACUCCUAGAAAAUUAAUUUAUCUUUAUAGCCCUGCUAAAAUUCCAUGGAUUAUUUUCCUAAUACCUUCAGGAAUAAUUACUGACAUUCCAUGGCAUUUGAAGUUUUAAUUAUUGAAUUUUCAUUUUGAGAUGUUUGAUGAAAACAAAAAUAGGUAACACAUAAGAAAUGAAGAAGAAUUAUAAUUGAAUUGUAAUUCCAUCAAACACCUGAUGAACUAGAUUAUGAAAAUUCUUUUGAAACUACCUGGAUGUACUUCCUCACUGCCACCAACUGCCUCCCAUCAAAUUUAAUCACUAUGUUGAAUUUAGUGUUUAUAUUUCUUUUGCUCUUUAAAAUAGUAUAACUAGGAAUGUAUGUGUCUUUAAAAAUAUAAUGCGUAUAUUUUUGAGUCUCAUUCAAAUCCUAUCGUAUUGUAUAUUGUCUACCGCAGUUUCUUUUGCUUACUCAAGACUAUAUUUCUAAGAUUCUUUGGAUAUUGCCUAUGGGCUGAGGGUAAUUCAUUUUCACAGUUGUAUUAUAUUUCAUUUUAAACUAUGUCACAUGUAUUUGUAUUUUUUUUUCUGUCUUUUUUUUUGAGAUGGAGUCUUGCUCUGUUGCACAGGCUGGAGUGCAAUGGCGCAAUGCAACCUCUACCUCCUGGGUUCAAAUGACUCUCCUGCCUCAACCUCCCGAGUAGCUGGGACUACAGGCACCCGCCCCCACACCCUGCUAACUUUUGUGUUUUUAGUAGAGACGAGGUUUCACCAGAUUGGGCAGGCUGGUCUCGAACUCCUGACCUUGUGAUCCACCCACCUUGGCCUCCCAAAGUGUUGGGAUUACAGGAGUGAGCCACCGCACUGGUCCUAUUUGUAUAUUUUCUUAAAGAUGCCAGAAGAAUAGAAAAAAGAAAGAAGGUACAUGACGGGUUUGAGAAAUUAAGGAUCCUGGCAAAUUCUUUGUCACUAUUCCCACUGUUAGGUGGAAACUGGAGUACACAGACACUAGAACUAGCUGGCCGCUUCUGAGCUGGCAGGGGUGGACUCCACUCUCUGGGUCCCACUGUGUUCCACCUGUCUCAGGAGUAGGAGUGCAGGAUUUGAAUCAAGAGCCAUGAUUUCAUGUUAUAGAAAACUGUACAUUCUUCAAUUAAUGAAAAUGAAGAGCUUAUUGACUAAAUAUUAUUGAAGAAAUUCAUUAUCUGUGAGAACACGAAAAAUUUGCGACCUAUCCCAAAUUUCAAGCAAGCAGUGGAGGAGAACUAACUUGACAGCAUGUUGAAACAUGCAAUGGAGAAAAAGUGUAAGGUCAAUGGAGACUGCUAUUUUUUGGUGGAGCAAUUACAUUUACAGAGCAUUUUGCAAUGUACAAAACUUUACAUGAAAAUUUACAAUUUGUAUUCUUUUGAGUUUCUUAUAGUCACUAGAAAGGUAAAUAAGUCAGGGUUUGCCCAAUGUCCCAUCAACUCUAAAUAGUAAAGGGAAGAGGAGUUCAGAUGUCUGGCUCCUAGGCAAUCUCUCCAAUCUCUCUUCAUUUCAGUUAGCUGCUUCUUCUGACUACCUGUCUUAAUUUUCUCCAUGCUGUUAUUCUUUCACGAUAUGCUUACCACAUUUGAUCUAACACUUAGUAUGGUGUGUGGUACAUAACAGGAGCUCAAUGAAUACGUACGUGUUGAAUGAAUAACUGGAUGAAUGAAUAAAUAAAUGAGUAGAUAAGUGAGUGUGUUCAUUCGUGUUCAAGACACUGGAGUCUGAGUUGGUGGUUACAUUUAGCACCUUUAGCAGGGUUGCUCUAACAUACCUGAUACAUACUUUCUUUCAGAAGAUGGCAAUUUGGAUCAUUUUGCCUCUUUUAUUCUAUGAUUUGACAAGCAUUGAGUUUUUUGAGUACUAUUUUUUGCUUUGUUUGAGGAUGUUUAUUUCAUUUUGAGAAGCUAAUAUCUUGUAAGGAUGGUACACUGGGAAUUACAAAGUGAUCUGCAGUUUUAUUUUCCUUAUAUUUGAGUUUAAGAAAUCUCCUAAAUAGGAAAAUUGAAAAGAAACUCUUAUAGUUUUACAUGAUACAUGAACCAGACCCCUCUAUUUCAUAAGCUACUCUUAUACAUGCUAUCUUCAUAAUUAGUUUCUUUAUUAUCAGACAUUAAGAAAAGUUUGGAAGGCUCAAAAAUCUUCCCUGAUAUUUUUCAUUUUCUACAACAGUAGGCUCACAGUGAUCUAGGUGAUGACAUUUAUGAAUCCUGUAUGUAGUUUUCAACUUCCCUAAGAAAUAUUUACAUUUUUUCCAACUUAGUUUAUUCACUUGUCCUGCUCAAUGUGUUGGUAUAAAUAUGGAUUUAAUUCUCAUUAUAUUUUCACUUUGGGCUUGUCAUUCUGUGCUGAAUUGGAAUUUUCAAUCUUAAUGCCAUACAUGAAUAUUUACAUGGAUUGUUGGAUUGCAAAAAGGAGCUGGAAAAGAAACUAUCAUCAGAGCAAACCGACAACCUACAAUGGGAGAAAAUUUUUGCAACCUAUCCAAUUAACAAAGGUCUAAUAUCGAGAGUCUACAUCUAUGAGGAAGUUAAACAAGCUAUAGGAAAAACAACCCCAUUAAAAAGUGGACAAAGGACAUGAAUAGACACUUCUCAAAAGAAGACAUUUAUGUGGCCAACAAACAUGAUAAAAAGCUUAACAUCACUGAUCAUUAGGGAAAUGCAAAUGAAAACCACAAUGAGAUACUAUCUCACACCAGUCAGAAUGGCCAUUAUUAAAAAGCCAAAAAACAACAGAUGCUGGCAAGGCUGUGGAGAAAUAGAAACACUUUUACACUGUUAGUGGACAUGUAAAUUAGUUCAACCAUUGUGGAAGACAGUGUGGUGAUUCCUAAAAGACCUAGAACCAGAAAUACUUUUUGACCGAGUAAUCUCAUUACAGGGUAUAUAUCCAAAGGGCUAUAAAUCCCUCUAUUAUUAUUAUUAUUAUUUGAGAUGGAGUCUCACUCUGUCUCCAGGCCGGAGUGCAGUGGCGUGAUAUCAGCUCACUGCAACCUCCACCUCCCAGGAUUAAGCAAUUAUCUUGCCUCAGCUUCCUGAGUAGUUGGGACUACAGGCGCACACCACCACGCCCAGCUAAUUUUUUUUUUUUUUUGUAUUUUUGGUAGAGACGGGGUUUCAUCAUGUUGGCCAGGAUGGUCUUGAUCUCUUGACAUCAUGGUCUGCCCACCUCGACCUCCUAAAGUGCUGGGAUUACAGAUAAGAGCCACUGAACUUGGCCAUAAAUCAUUCUAUUAUAAAGAUACAUGCACACAUAUGUUCACUGCAGCACUCUUCACAAUAGCAAUGACAUGGAAUCAAUCCAAAUGCCCAUCAGUGAAAGACUGGAUAAAGAAAAUGUGGUACGUAUAUACCAUAGAAUAGUAUGCAGCCAUAAAAAGGAAUAAGGUCAUGACCUUUGCAGGAACAGAUCGAACUGGAAGUCAUUAUCCUCAGCAAACUAACACAGGAACAGAAAACCAAAUACUGCAUGUUCUCACAUCUAAGUGGGAGCUGAACAAUGAGAACACAUGGACACAGGGAAGGGAACAAAACACACUGAGGCCUGUCAGUAGUGGGGAGUAGAGAGGGAGAGGAUCAGGAAAAAUAGCUAAUUCACACUGGGCUUAAUACUUAGGUGAUGGGUUGAUAGAUGAAGCGAACCACCAUGGCACAUGUUUACCUAUGUAACAAAGCUGCACAUCCUGCACAUGUACCCUGGAACUUAAAAUAAAAUAAAAAUAAAAGAAUAAAGGAGCUGGGUUGUUGGAUUAAAAGAGUUGUUGGAUUCAAAAGAAGACAGGCAGGACUGUAUGCACAUGGUAAAUGCUGCUAGGGAAACAAUUCCUUAGUAAACAUUUUUAAUUGUGGUUGAACAUGAAUCAAGGUAGUUUUCACAAAGAAAUAGUACCACUAGAAUGAAUGUAUAGUAUUUUUUAAUAUAAAUGCAGAAUGAUACCGUGUGGACUAUGCACUUCAGCAAUAACUUUUAGUAAUUGCAAUCAUAUCAAUUCUGCAGUUAAAGGGAUUGCU
rnacentral:lncRNA from 10 species